rnacentral:rRNA from 1 species
AGUGAACGCUGGCGGUAGGCCUAACACAUGCAAGUCGAACGGCAGCACAGUAAGAGCUUGCUCUUACGGGUGGCGAGUGGCGGACGGGUGAGGAAUACAUCGGAAUCUACUUUUUCGUGGGGGAUAACGUAGGGAAACUUACGCUAAUACCGCAUACGACCUACGGGUGAAAGCAGGGGAUCUUCGGACCUUGCGCGAUUGAAUGAGCCGAUGUCGGAUUAGCUAGUUGGCGGGGUAAAGGCCCACCAAGGCGACGAUCCGUAGCUGGUCUGAGAGGAUGAUCAGCCACAAUGGAACUUGAGCAAGGGCCAAGCUCCUACGGGAGGGAGCAGUGGGGAAUAUUGGGCAAAGGGGGGAAACCUGGUACAACCAUACCGCGUGGGUGAAAGAGGCCUUCCGGUUGGAAAGCCCUUUUUUUGGGAAAAAAAAGCAGCAGGUUAAUACCCCGCUGUUCUGACGGUAACCAAAAAAUAAGCACCGGCUAACUUCGUG